rnacentral:rRNA from 1 species
UAGGGAAUCUUCCACAAUGGGCGAAAGCCUGAUGGAGCAACGCCGCGUGUGUGAUGUAGGGUUUCGGCUCGUAAAACACUGUUGUAAGAGAAGGAUGACAUUGAGAGUAACUGUUCAAUGUGUGACGGUAUCUUACCAGAAAGGAACGGCUAAAUACGUGUCAG